GUCCGUACAUGGAAGUUCAGAUCUCAAAAGAGUGCUCGACGCCGCCCACCCUGAUAGCGGCCAUGUCGGGGCUGGAGGUCAAGCGUGAGGACGAUGAUUCGGCGGAGCAGAGACAAAGGAGUGGCAAGUUGACAAUGCAGAGGAUAAUGAUGGUUGCUGGUCCAUACAGAUUCCUCAUGCCACAUGUGAAGGUCGACAAAGGAACUGAUGGCUUGUAUUUCAGUGAUCUACUGUUGGCUUACCAUUUGUUUUUAUAGAGGGUCGUGCAACUUGAUUGAAGAUGGGAAGAUGAUGAGAACCGCCUGAUGAAGAAGCUGCUGAGAACCAGCGCCAGCGUCUCCCAG